GAGUUUGAUCCUGGCUCAGGAUGAACGCUGGCGGCGUGCUUAACACAUGCAAGUCGAACGAACCUUCGGGUUAGUGGCGGACGGGUGAGUAACGCGUGGGAAUCUGCCCUCAGGAGGGGGAUAACGGUUGGAAACGACCGCUAAUACCCCAUAUGCCGAGAGGUGAAAUGAAUUUCGCCUGAGGAUGAGCCCGCGUCUGAUUAGCUUGUUGGUGAGGUAAUGGCUCACCAAGGCAUCGAUCAGUAGCUGGUCUGAGAGGAUGAUCAGCCACACUGGGACUGAGACACGGCCCAGACUCCUACGGGAGGCAGCAGUGGGGAAUUUUCCGCAAUGGACGAAAGUCUGACGGAGCAACGCCGCGUGAGGGACGAAGGCCUCUGGGCUGUAAACCUCUUUUCUCAAGGAAGAAGAUAUGACGGUACUUGAGGAAUAAGCCACGGCUAAUUCCGUGCCAGCAGCCGCGGUAAUACGGGAGUGGCAAGCGUUAUCCGGAAUUAUUGGGCGUAAAGCGUCCGCAGGCGGCCUUUCAAGUCUGCUGUUAAAGCGUGGAGCUUAACUCCAUCAUGGCAGUGGAAACUGAUUGGCUUGAGUAUGGUAGGGGUAGAGGGAAUUCCCGGUGUAGCGGUGAAAUGCGUAGAUAUCGGGAAGAACACCAGUGGCGAAGGCGCUCUACUGGGCCAUUACUGACGCUCAUGGACGAAAGCCAGGGGAGCGAAAGGGAUUAGAUACCCCUGUAGUCCUGGCCGUAAACGAUGAACACUAGGUGUCGGGGGAAUCGACCCCUUCGGUGUCGUAGCUAACGCGUUAAGUGUUCCGCCUGGGGAGUACGCACGCAAGUGUGAAACUCAAAGGAAUUGACGGGGGCCCCGCACAAGCGGUGGAGUAUGUGGUUUAAUUCGAUGCAACGCGAAGAACCUUACCAGGGCUUGACAUCCUGCGAACCUUUAAGAAAUUAGAGGGUGCCUUCGGGAACGCAGUGACAGGUGGUGCAUGGCUGUCGUCAGCUCGUGUCGUGAAAUGUUGGGUUAAGUCCCGCAACGAGCGCAACCCACGUUUUUAGUUGCCAGCAUUUAGUUGGGCACUCUAGAAAGACCGCCGGUGAUAAACCGGAGGAAGGUGUGGAUGACGUCAAGUCAUCAUGCCCCUUACGUCCUGGGCUACACACGUACUACAAUGCUACGGACAAAGGGCAGCAAACUCGCGAGAGCUAGCAAAUCCCAUAAACCGUGGCUCAGUUCAGAUCGUAGGCUGCAACUCGCCUACGUGAAGUAGGAAUCGCUAGUAAUCGCAGGUCAGCAUACUGCGGUGAAUACGUUCCCGGGCCUUGUAUACACCGCCCGUCACACCAUGGAAGUUGGCCACGCCCGAAGUCGUUACUUUAACCCUUGUGGAGAAGGACGCCGAAGGUGGGGCUGAUGACUGGGGUGAAGUCGUAACAAGGUAACC
rnacentral:rRNA from 1 species